CGGACGGGUGAGUAACGCGUGAGGAACCUGCCUCAAAGAGGGGGACAACAGUUGGAAACGACCGCUAAUACCGCAUAAGCCCACGGUGCCGCAUGGCACAGAGGGAAAAGGAGCAAUCCGCUUUGAGAUGGCCUCGCGUCCGAUUAGCUAGUUGGUGAGGUAACGGCCCACCAAGGCAACGAUCGGUAGCCGGACUGAGAGGUUGGACGGCCACAUUGGGACUGAGACACGGCCCAGACUCCUACGGGAGGCAGCAUG
rnacentral:rRNA from 1 species